rnacentral:rRNA from 1 species
UCAAGCGAACAAGUGCAUGUGGUGGAUGCCUUGGCGAUCACAGGCGAUGAAGGACGCGGUAGCCUGCGAAAAGCUUCGGGGAGCUGGCAAACAAGCUUUGAUCCGGAGAUGUCCGAAUGGGGAAACCCGGCCCGUAUGGGUCAUCCCUUGCUGAAUACAUAGGCAAGGGAAGCGAACGCGGCGAACUGAAACAUCUAAGUAGCUGCAGGAACAGAAAUCAACCGAGAUUCCCAAAGUAGUGGCGAACGAAAUGGGAAGAGCCUUGUACUCUUUAGCAGUGGUGUUAGCAGAACGGGAUGGAAAGCCCGGCCAUAGCAGGUGAUAGCCCUGUAUGCGAAAACACGAUUGUGGAACUAGGUGUACGACAAGUAGGGCGGGACACGUGAAAUCCUGUCUGAAGAUGGGGGGACCAUCCUCCAAGGCUAAAUACUCGUGAUCGACCGAUAGUGAACCAGUACCGUGAGGGAAAGGCGAAAAGAACCCCGGGAGGGGAGUGAAAUAGAUCCUGAAACCGCAUGCAUACAAACAGUCGGAGCCCUUUCGGGGGUGACGGCGUACCUUUUGUAUAAUGGGUCAGCGACUUACAUUCAGUGGCAAGCUUAACCGAUUAGGGAAGGCGUAGCGAAAGCGAGUCCGAACAGGGCGUUGAGUCGCUGGGUGUAGACCCGAAACCAGAUGAUCUAUCCAUGGCCAGGUUGAAGGUGCGGUAACACGUACUGGAGGACCGAACCCACUAACGUUGAAAAGUUAGGGGAUGAGCUGUGGAUAGGGGUGAAAGGCUAAACAAAUCUGGAAAUAGCUGGUUCUCUCCGAAAACUAUUUAGGUAGUGCCUCGUGUCUCACCUUCGGGGGUAGAGCACUGUCAUGGUUGGGGGGUCUAUUGCUGAUUACCCCGCCAUAGCAAACUCCGAAUACCGAAGAGUGCAAUCACGGGAGACAGACAUCGGGUGCUAACGUCCGGUGUCAAGAGGGAAACAACCCAGACCGCCAGCUAAGGUCCCCAAAUAUGGCUAAGUGGGAAACGAAGUGGGAAGGCUAAAACAGUCAGGAGGUUGGCUUAGAAGCAGCCACCCUUUAAAGAAAGCGUAAUAGCUCACUGAUCGAGUCGUCCUGCGCGGAAGAUGUAACGGGGCUAAGCCAUAUACCGAAGCUGCGGACGCACGCAAGUGCGUGGUAGGAGAGCGUUCUGUAAGCCUGUGAAGGUGUCUUGUAAAGGAUGCUGGAGGUAUCAGAAGUGCGAAUGCUGACAUGAGUAGCGAUAAAGGGGGUGAAAGGCCCCCUCGCCGUAAGCCCAAGGUUUCCUACGCAACGUUCAUCGGCGUAGGGUGAGUCGGCCCCUAAGGCGAGGCAGAGAUGCGUAGCUGAUGGGAAGCAGGUUAAUAUUCCUGCACCGUCGUAUGAUGCGAUGGGGGGACGGAUCGCGGAAGGUUGUCCGGGUGUUGGAAGUCCCGGUCCCUGUAGUGGAGAAGGCGCUUAGGCAAAUCCGGGCGCGGAAUUCAAGGCUAUGGGGCGAGCGGCCUAGUGCUGCGAAGCAAUUGGAAGUGGUUCCAAGAAAAGCCUCUAAGCUUCAGUCAUACGAGACCGUACCGCAAACCGACACAGGUGGGCGAGAUGAGUAUUCUAAGGCGCUUGAGAGAACUCGGGAGAAGGAACUCGGCAAAUUGGUACCGUAACUUCGGGAUAAGGUACGCCCUGGUAGCUUGACUGGCCUGCGCCAGAAGGGUGAAGGGGUUGCAAUAAAAUGGUGGCUGCGACUGUUUAAUAAAAACACAGCACUCUGCAAACACGAAAGUGGACGUAUAGGGUGUGACGCCUGCCCGGUGCCGGAAGAUUAAAUGAUGGGGUGCAAGCUCUUGAUUGAAGUCCCGGUAAACGGCGGCCGUAACUAUAACGGUCCUAAGGUAGCGAAAUUCCUUGUCGGGUAAGUUCCGACCUGCACGAAUGGCGUAACGAUGGCCACACUGUCUCCUCCCGAGACUCAGCGAAGUUGAAGUGUUUGUGAUGAUGCAAUCUCCCCGCGGCUAGACGGAAAGACCCCAUGAACCUUUACUGUAGCUUUGCAUUGGACUUUGAACCGAUCUGUGUAGGAUAGGUGGGAGGCUUUGAAGCGUGGACGCUAGUUCACGUGGAGCCGUCCUUGAAAUACCACCCUGGUUUGUUUGAGGUUCUAACCUUGGCCCGUGAAUCCGGGUCGGGGACAGUGCAUGGUAGGCAGUUUGACUGGGGCGGUCUCCUCCCAAAGUGUAACGGAGGAGUUCGAAGGUACGCUUGGUACGGUCGGACAUCGUACCUAAAGUGCAAUGGCAAAAGCGUGCUUAACUGCGAGACCGACAAGUCGAGCAGGUGCGAAAGCAGGACAUAGUGAUCCGGUGGUUCUGAAUGGAAGGGCCAUCGCUCAACGGAUAAAAGGUACUCUGGGGAUAACAGGCUGAUACCGCCCAAGAGUUCAUAUCGACGGCGGUGUUUGGCACCUCGAUGUCGGCUCAUCUCAUCCUGGGGCUGUAGCCGGUCCCAAGGGUAUGGCUGUUCGCCAUUUAAAGAGGUACGUGAGCUGGGUUUAAAACGUCGUGAGACAGUUUGGUCCCUAUCUGCCGUGGGCGUUGGAAUCUUGACGGGGGCUGCUCCUAGUACGAGAGGACCGGAGUGGACGUACCGCUGGUGUACCUGUUGUCUCGCCAGAGGCAUCGCAGGGUAGCUAUGUACGGAAGAGAUAACCGCUGAAAGCAUCUAAGCGGGAAACUCGCCUGAAGAUGAGGAUUCCCUGGAGGCUUGACCUCCUUGAAGGGUCGUUCGAGACCAGGACGUUGAUAGGCUGGGUGUGGAAGCGCAGUAAUGCGUUAAGCUAACCAGUACUAAUUGCCCGUAAGGCUUGAUCCU